rnacentral:rRNA from 1 species
AGUGACAAAGUUCAACGGCCGCGGUACCCUAACCGUGCGAAGGUAGCAUAAUCACUUGUUCUUUAAAUGAGGACUUGUAUCAACGGCACUACGAGGGCUAUACUGUCUCCUUUUUCUAAUCAGUGAAACUGAUCUCCCCGUGAAGAAGCGGGGAUCAAAAUAUAAGACGAGAAGACCCCAUGGAGCUUUAAACUCACCACACACCUCUGUGAUGCUAUACCAUUAAACACAAGAAAGCUGUGUGCUAGUUUUAGGUUGGGGUGACCACGGAGUACAAUUUAACCUCCAUAACAAAUGGGCUAAUACCCUUAUCCACGAGACACAACUCUAAGAAUUACUAAACUAAUGCUUAUGACCCGAUAUUCGAUCAAUGAACCAAGUUACCCUGGGGAUAACAGCGCAAUCUACUUCAAGAGUCCCUAUCGACAAGUAGGUUUACGACCUCGAUGUUGGAUCAGGGUAUCCCGGUGGUGCAGCCGCUACCGAUGGUUCGUUUGUUCAACGAUUAAAACCCUACGUGA